rnacentral:rRNA from 1 species
GAUGAACGCUGGCGGCGUGCCUAAUACAUGCAAGUAGAACGCUGAAGGAAGGAGCUUGCUCUUUCCGGAUGAGUUGCGCACGGGUGAGUAACGCGUAGGUAACCUGCCUGGUAGCGGGGGAUAACUAUUGGAAACGAUAGCUAAUACCGCAUAACAGUAGAUGUUGCAUGACAACUAUUUGAAAGGGGCAAUUGCUCCACUACCAGAUGGACCUGCGUUGUAUUAGCUAGUUGGUGAGGUAACGGCUCACCAAGGCGACGAUACAUAGCCGACCUGAGAGGGUGGGCGGCCACACUGGGACGGUGACACGGCCCAGACGCCUACGGGAGGCAGCAGGAGGGAAUCUUCGGCAAGGGGCGGAAGUCUGAGCGAGCAACGCCGCGUGAGGGAAGAAGGUUGUCGGGUCGUAAAGCUCGGUUGUAAGAGAAGAACGAGUGUGAGAGUGGAAAGUUCACACUGUGACGGUAUCUGACCAGAAAGAGACGGCUAACUACGUG